UUGCUUUGGCAGCACAUACAGUAAAACUGGAACCAUACAGAAAAAAAAUUAAAAUGGACUCUAGGCAAGGAUGAUAAGCAAAUUAAUAAAGCAUUCCAGAUUUUC
ensembl:snRNA U6 U6 spliceosomal RNA